CUGAGUGCCUUUAAAUCUAGACUGUUUAGAGUUUCUUUUGAAACAUCAAUAAUAAAACUUUAAUCAACAUUCUGAUGUGUAAUGACGGCACUUGACAAAAUGUAAUGUUUUAAUUGUUGACUAUGCAUUGUUCUAUGACUUUGUAUUUUUAUGUUUUUAUGAUGUAAAGCACUUUGAACUACCUUGUUGCUGAAAUUUGUUUAUAUAAAUAAACUUGAACUUAUACUUCUCUACAAGCAUUAUCUUGUAUCUGUAGACUUGCAGAUUUGGGCCUCAGCAGGUAUUUGUUUUAGAAGUUGGAGAUAAAAAGGAAAGCCAUGUUUUUUUUCCACUGACAUUGAAGAUUUUCAAAGCUUUUCCUCUGCUGGAUCUGUCUUUUGCCUUUUUUGAGUUUUAAAGUUUUGAUGUUCAGUGGUACUAAAUCUGUUUGUGUCCAGUCUAGGAUUUCCUUUGUUGCUGCUACAAAGUAAAAAAAAAAAAGAAGAAAAUCUAAUAAAACAAACAUGUUACUUUUACUACACAGUACAUAUUUACUGCCAGACAACCUCAGAAUAAAGUCUGUGAUUCUCAACUAAAAUCAGCAUUUGUAUUUUUUGUUUUAGAGUGGAGAGGUCCACAGACCAAGUCAUUAAGCCAGUAAACGUGGAAGCCUUGUCUAAAUGGGUGGGAAAGAUCCCACCUGAUGUGGUGAGGGACAUGGCUGUCAUCGCUCCCAUGCUUUCCAGACUGGGCUAUGACCCGCACGCCAACCCCCCCAACUACGGGCAGCCGGACCCCAGAGUAUUGGACAACACCAGGAGGGGCUAUAAAGGUAGAAUUU